UACAGAGGGUGCAAACGUUGUUCGGAAUUACUGGGCGUAAAGCGUACGUAGGCGGCUUUGUAAGUUAGAGGUGAAAGCCCGGAGCUCAACUCCGGAACUGCCUUUAAGACUGCAUCGCUAGAAUCCGGGAGAGGUGAGUGGAAUUCCGAGUGUAGAGGUGAAAUUCGUAGAUAUUCGGAAGAACACCAGUGGCGAAGGCGGCUCACUGGACCGGCAUUGACGCUGAGGUACGAAAGCGUGGGGAGCAAACAGG
rnacentral:rRNA from 1 species